UAGGGAAUAUUGGGCAAUGGGCGAGAGCCUGACCCAGCCAUGCCGCGUGCAGGAAGAAGGCCCUCUGGGUUGUAAACUGCUUUUAUCGGGGAAGAACGGCACUCUUGCGAGAGUGUGUGACGGUACUCGAGGAAUAAGCACCGGCUAACUCCGUGCCAGCAGCCGCGGUAAUACGGAGGGUGCAAGCGUUGUCCGGAUUUAUUGGGUUUAAAGGGUGCGUAGGUGGUUUUUUAAGUCUGGUUUGAAAGUUGGUCGCUUAACGAUCAAGGGUGGCUGGAUACUGGAAGACUUGAAUGUGGUGGAGGUAGCUGGAAUGGGUCGUGUAGCGGUGAAAUGCAUAGAGAUGACCCGGAACCCCAAUUGCGAAGGCAGGCUACUACGCCAUGAUUGACACUGAGGC
rnacentral:rRNA from 1 species